CAGUCGCCGCGGGAAUACGAAGGGGGCUAGCGUUGUUCGGAAUUACUGGGCGUAAAGGGCGCGUAGGCGGCCAUUCAAGUUAGAUGUGAAAGCCCUGGGCUCAACCUAGGAAUUGCAUUUGAUACUGUUUGGCUUGAGUUCGGGAGAGGUGAGUGGAAUUCCCAGUGUAGAGGUGAAAUCCGUAGAUAUUGGGAAGAACACCAGUGGCGAAGGCGGCUCACUGGACCGACACUGACGCUGAGGCGCGAAAGCGUGGGGAGCAAACAGGAUUAGAGACCCCAGUAGUCCCUGUCUCUUAUAA
rnacentral:rRNA from 1 species